GACGAACGCUGGCGGCGUGCUUAACACAUGCAAGUCGAGCGGUAAGGCCCUUUCGGGGGUACACGAGCGGCGAACGGGUGAGUAACACGUGGGUGACCUGCCCUCAGCUCUGGGAUAAGCCUGGGAAACUGGGUCUAAUACCGGAUAUGACUCCAUGACGCAUGUUGUGGGGUGGAAAGCCUUGUGCGGCUGAGGAUGGGGCCCGCGGCCUAUCAGCUUGUUGGUGGGGUGAUGGCCUACCAAGGCGACGACGGGUAGCCGGCCUGAGAGGGCGACCGGCCACACUGGGACUGAGACACGGCCCAGA
rnacentral:rRNA from 1 species